GUGGUGGUAGCAGUGGUAGUGGUAGCGGUAGUGGUGGUAGUAGCAGUAGUAGUAGUAGUAGUAGUAGCAGUAGUAGUAGUAGUAGUAGUAGUAGUAGUAGUAGUAGUAGUAGUAGUAGCAGUAGCAGCAGCAGCAGUAGCAGCAGGAGCAGUAGCAGUGCAACCAUUUUUUUAAAAGAAAGUUACUACAAUGUAAUGUCUAAGCGUUACUCAUGUGAAUGCUCUCAUUAAAACACAACAAUACUUACUGAAACAUCUCCUAUUCUAAACUCCCUUUACCCAGUAGGUAUUAACUAGGGAAUGACCAGUAGGUAUUAACUAGGGAAUGACCAGUAGGUAUUAACUAGGGAACCUUUACCCAGUAGGUAUUAACUAGGGAAUGACCAGUAGGUAUUAACUAGGGAAUGACCAGUAGGUAUUAACUAGGGAAUGACCAGUAGGUAUUAACUAGGGAAUGACCAGUAGGUUUUAACUAGGGAAUGACCAGUAGGUAUUAACUAGGGAAUGACCAGUAGGUAUUAACUAGGGAAUGACCAGUAGGUAUUAACUAGGGAAUGACCAGUAGGUAUUAACUAGGGAAUGACCAGUAGGUAUUAACUAGGGAAUGACCAGUAGGUAUUAACUAGGGAACCUUUACCCAGUAGGUAUUAACUAGGGAAUGACCAGUAGGUAUUAACUAGGGAAUGACCAGUAGGUAUUAACUAGGGAACCUUUACCCAGUAGGUAUUAACUAGGGAAUGACCAGUAGGUAUUAACUAGGUGAAUGACCAGUAGGUAUUAACUAGGGAAUGACCAGUAGGUAUUAACUAGGGAAUGACCAGUAGGUAUUAACUAGGGAAUGACCAGUAGGUAUUAACUAGGGAAUGACCAGUAGGUAUUAACUAGGGAACCUUUACCCAGUAGGUAUUAACUAGGGAAUGACCAGUAGGUAUUAACUAGGGAAUGACCAGUAGGUAUUAACUAGGGAACCUUUACCCAGUAGGUAUUAACUAGGGAAUGACCAGUAGGUAUUAACUAGGGAAUGACCAGUAGGUAUUAACUAGGGAAUGACCAGUAGGUAUUAACUAGGGAAUGACCAGUAGGUAUUAACUAGGGAAUGACCAGUAGGUAUUAACUAAGGAAUGACCAGUAGGUAUUAACUAGGGAAUGACUAGUAUGUAUGACAGGAAUAUGUUUCUACAGACACUGCCUUCUUUGUCAGCUGAGACUAAGAACAGCUAAGACUGCAGUAACAUGUUGAAUAGCUAAGGCUGCAGUAACAUGUUGAACAGCUAAGACUGCAGUAACAUGUUGAUCAACUA
rnacentral:lncRNA from 1 species